UACGAAGGGUGCAAGCGUUACUCGGAAUUACUGGGCGUAAAGCGUGCGUAGGUGGUUCGUUAAGUCUGUCGUGAAAGCCCCGGGCUCAACCUGGGAAUGGCGAUGGAUACUGGCGGGCUAGAGUGCGGUAGAGGAGAGUGGAAUUCCCGGUGUAGCAGUGAAAUGCGUAGAGAUCGGGAGGAACACCUGUGGCGAAGGCGGCCCCCUGGGCCGGCCCUGACAACUGAGACGCGAAGGCGUGGGGAGCGAACGGGAGUUAGAA
rnacentral:rRNA from 1 species